rnacentral:rRNA from 1 species
AGUUUGAUUAUGGCUCAGGAUGAACGCUAGNNACAGGCUUAACACAUGCAAGUCGAGGGGCAGCAUUUUAGUUUGCUUGCAAACUAAAGAUGGCGACCGGCGCACGGGUGAGUAACACGUAUCCAACCUGCCGAUAACUCGGGGAUAGCCUUUCGAAAGAAAGAUUAAUAUCCGAUAGUAUAUUAAAACCGCAUGGUUUUACUAUUAAAGAAUUUCGGUUAUCGAUGGGGAUGCGUUCCAUUAGUUUGUUGGCGGGGUAACGGCCCACCAAGACUACGAUGGAUAGGGGUUCUGAGAGGAAGGUCCCCCACAUUGGAACUGAGACACGGUCCAAACUCCUACGGGAGGCAGCAGUGAGGAAUAUUGGUCAAUGGACGAGAGUCUGAACCAGCCAAGUAGCGUGAAGGAUGACUGCCCUAUGGGUUGUAAACUUCUUUUAUAUGGGAAUAAAGUAUUCCACGUGUGGGAUUUUGUAUGUACCAUAUGAAUAAGGAUCGGCUAACUCCGUGCCAGCAGCCGCGGUAAUACGGAGGAUCCGAGCGUUAUCCGGAUUUAUUGGGUUUAAAGGGAGCGUAGGUGGAUUGUUAAGUCAGUUGUGAAAGUUUGCGGCUCAACCGUAAAAUUGCAGUUGAAACUGGCAGUCUUGAGUACAGUAGAGGUGGGCGGAAUUCGUGGUGUAGCGGUGAAAUGCUUAGAUAUCACGAAGAACUCCGAUUGCGAAGGCAGCUCACUAGACUGCAACUGACACUGAUGCUCGAAAGUGUGGGUAUCAAACAGGAUUAGAUACCCUGGUAGUCCACACAGUAAACGAUGAAUACUCGCUGUUUGCGAUAUACAGUAAGCGGCCAAGCGAAAGCAUUAAGUAUUCCACCUGGGGAGUACGCCGGCAACGGUGAAACUCAAAGGAAUUGACGGGGGCCCGCACAAGCGGAGGAACAUGUGGUUUAAUUCGAUGAUACGCGAGGAACCUUACCCGGGCUUAAAUUGCAUUUGAAUAAUCUGGAAACAGGUUAGCCGCAAGGCAAAUGUGAAGGUGCUGCAUGGUUGUCGUCAGCUCGUGCCGUGAGGUGUCGGCUUAAGUGCCAUAACGAGCGCAACCCUUAUCUUUAGUUACUAACAGGUCAUGCUGAGGACUCUAGAGAGACUGCCGUCGUAAGAUGUGAGGAAGGUGGGGAUGACGUCAAAUCAGCACGGCCCUUACGUCCGGGGCUACACACGUGUUACAAUGGGGGGUACAGAAGGCAGCUACCUGGCGACAGGAUGCUAAUCCCAAAAACCUCUCUCAGUUCGGAUCGAAGUCUGCAACCCGACUUCGUGAAGCUGGAUUCGCUAGUAAUCGCGCAUCAGCCAUGGCGCGGUGAAUACGUUCCCGGGCCUUGUACACACCGCCCGUCAAGCCAUGAAAGCCGGGGGUACCUGAAGUACGUAACCGCAAGGAGCGUCCUAGGGUAAAACUGGUAAUUGGGGCUAAGUCGUAACAAGGUAGCC